rnacentral:misc_RNA from 1 species
ACCCUUGUGGAGGAGGACGCCGAAGGUGGGGCUAAUGACUGGGGUGAAGUCGUAACAAGGUAGCCGUACCGGAAGGUGCGGCUGGAUCACCUCCUAACAGGGAGACAACAAAAUGUUUAAUAUUAUUUUGUCACCUUAGGUCGAUCGGUAUCUCACGUUCUUAAUUUAUUAAGAAUUUCUUUUCCUAAGUUUUUCUAGGUCACACCCAUUAUUUUUCCUGGGCCAUUAGCUCAGGUGGUUAGAGCGCACCCCUGAUAAGGGUGAGGUCCCUGGUUCAAGUCCAGGAUGGCCCAUAUCUCUAUGUUGGGGGUAUAGCUCAGUUGGUAGAGCGCCUGCUUUGCAAGCAGGAUGUCAGCGGUUCGAGUCCGCUUACCUCCACUGAUUACCACCUCUUUCGUAAUCUGUAGAAAGGAAAUGUAUUGAGUUGUGAUCAAAUUCUGAACGAAUCUAGCUUCCUAAUUAAAUUAUUAAGAUGCUGGACUCAUUGAAUUAAUUUCAUUGUUUUCAGAGAACCUUGACAACUGCAUAGAUUAUUUUUAAAGACAAUUAGCAUCUUUUAUGAUGCAGAUUUAUUAUUUGUGCGAAUGCAUUAAUAACAAUUCUAUUAAGCUGAUGCUUCAAUUUUGAAGUUAUUGGUCAAGCUACAAAGGGCUCACGGAGGAUACCUAGGCACACAGAGGCGA